AGUCACUGACAUUAGAUACCCCUGUAGUCCUAGCCGUAAACGAUACUCGCUAGGUGUCGGCCACGGUGCGACCGUUGUCGGUGCCGUAGGGAAGCCGUGAAAGCGAGCCACCUGGGAAGUACGGCCGCAAGGCCUGAAACUUUAAAGGAAUUGGCGGGGGAGCACCACAACGGGUGGAGCUUGCGGUUUAAUUGGAUUCAACGCCGGAAAUCUUACCGGGACCGACAGCAACAUGAAGGCCAGGCUGAAGACUUUGCCGGAUUAGCUG
rnacentral:rRNA from 1 species